rnacentral:rRNA from 1 species
AGUGAACGCUGGCGGUAGGCCUAACACAUGCAAGUCGAACGGCAGCACAGUAAGAGCUUGCUCUUACGGGUGGCGAGUGGCGGACGGGUGAGGAAUACAUCGGAAUCUACUUUUUCGUGGGGGAUAACGUAGGGAAACUUACGCUAAUACCGCAUACGACCUACGGGUGAAAGCAGGGGAUCUUCGGACCUUGCGCGAUUGAAUGAGCCGAUGUCGGAUUAGCUAGUUGGCGGGGUAAAGGCCCACCAAGGCGACGAUCCGUAGCUGGUCUGAGAGGAUGAUCAGCCACACUGGAACUGAGACACGGUCCAGACUCCUACGGGAGGCAGCAGUGGGGAAUAUUGGACAAUGGGCGCAAGCCUGAUCCAGCCAUACCGCGUGGGUGAAGAAGGCCUUCGGGUUGUAAAGCCCUUUUGUUGGGAAAGAAAAGCAGCAGGUUAAUACCCCGCUGUUCCGACCGUACCCAAAGAAUAAGCACCGGCUAACUUCGUG